GCUGGUGGAGGAAGAGAAAACAGAACUCCGACGGCAGGAGAAAUGCCUCGACCGGUAACUCCGCCCCCAGCUGCGGCGCUUGAUUGGUCUGUCCCAAAGAGGUUAGUGCAUGACAGUUCCAAGUCUGUGAAUUAGGUCUGUGUUGCCCCGGUAACAGGUCUUUAUCAAAGACCAACACACUGAAGUAGGAGGAAAGCUGACGUCUAAACGAAGAGGAUUUUUUCUCGGGAGCUGCUUUUGUGGCACGUAAGUGUCGCAUUGGAAUUCUGCUCAGGACCAGACCAGUGUCUGACUGUCAUCCCUAAUAUGGAUGGUGCCAAUUAGACCACAGCGACGGAGCCUCACACUCUAUCACAUAGUCUCUUAUAUACAAUCCACUUUAAACAUUUAGCCCACUACACACUCAUUAAUCUAUACUCAAAGUUUUGUGUGACACAAUUUAUCCCAAUGAUUUUUUCAUCACAAGCCAAAGCUCAUCCCAAAAACAAUUCAGUAUAAGUAACUGUUAGUGUUUGUGUGUAGAUAUACACACACCUUUCAAAAAUUGUUUUAAUAUUUUCUCUCUUAUGCUCACCAAGGCUGUGAAAAAAUGCUUAUGAAAUAUGACUGCAAUUUUAGAAAUAAAUGCAUUCUUUUUAAAUAUUUUUAAAAAUAUAUAAUUUAUCCUGUGAUGGCAAAGCUGAAUGUUCAGCAGCCAGUACUCCAGUCUUCAGUGUCACAUGAUCCUUCAGAAAACAUGGAAAAUAUAUUUCGUAUUAAUAUCAGUGUUAAAAACAGUUGUACUGCUUAAUAUUUGGUAGAAAGUGUGCUACAUUUUUCAGGCCUUUUUGGUCAGUCGAUAUUU